AUGGCUGACUUAGAAACCUCCUCAAACAAUGUUUCAUCUGAUUCAACAGAUCAGCAAUCUAGCCAAGGUUCAAAUGUUGAAUUUUCUGAAAAUGAAGAAAUGCUUAUUACUAUGGUUUAUAAUCUCGUUGGGGAGAGGUGGUCAUUGAUUGCUGGAAGAAUUCCGGGAAGAACAGCUGAAGAAAUAGAAAAGUUUUGGAAUUCAAGAUACUCAACAAGUGAAUGA